rnacentral:rRNA from 1 species
AGUAGUCAUAUGCUUGUCUCAAAGAUUAAGCCAUGCAUGUCUAAGUAUAAGCACUUGUACUGUGAAACUGCGAAUGGCUCAUUAAAUCAGUUAUCGUUCAUUUGAUUGUACUUUACUACAUGGAUACCUGUGGUAAUUCUAGAGCUAAUACAUGCGAAAAAUCCCGACUUCCCGGAAGGGAUGUAUUUAUUAGACUAAAAACCAAUGCGGGGCUUCGCGCUCCGUUUUCUUGGUGAUACAUGAUAACUUUUCGAAUCGCAUGGCCUUGCGCCGGCGAUGUUUCAUUCAAAUUUCUGCCCUAUCAACUGUCGAUGGUAAGGUAGUGGCUUACCAUGGUUGUAACGGGUGACGGAGAAUUAGGGUUCGAUUCCGGAGAGGGAGCCUGAGAAACGGCUACCACAUCUAAGGAAGGCAGCAGGCACGAAAAUUACCCAAUCCCGACUCGGGGAGGUAGUGACAAGAAAUAACGAUACGGGGUCUUAAUAGGUCUCGCAAUUGGAAUGAGUACAAUUUAAAUCCUUUAACGAGGAUCAAUUGGAGGGCAAGUCUGGUGCCAGCAGCCGCGGUAAUUCCAGCUCCAAUAGCGUAUAUUAAAGUUGUUGCAGUUAAAAAGCUCGUAGUUGGAUUUCGGAAUGGGCCCGUCGGUCCACCGCAAGGUGCGCUACUGACUGGUUUGUUCUUCUUCGCAAAGACUUCGUUUGCACUUCGCUGUGUGUGCGUAGGAUUUACGACGUUUACUUUGAAAAAAUUAGAGUGUUCAAAGCAGGCUAUCGCUUGAAUACAUGAGCAUGGAAUAAUGGAAUAGGACUUUGGYCCUAUUUUGUUGGUUUCUAGGACCGAAGUAAUGAUUAAGAGGGACAAUUGGGGGCAUCCGUAUUUCGUUGUCAGAGGUGAAAUUCUUGGAUUUACGAAAGACGAACAACUGCGAAAGCACUUGCCAAGAGUGUUUUCAUUAAUCAAGAACGAAAGUUAGAGGAUCGAAGACGAUCAGAUACCGUCCUAGUUCUAACCAUAAACGAUGUCGACUAGGGAUCAGCGGGCGUUAUUGUACGACCCCGUUGGCACCUUACGGGAAACCAAAGUUUUUGGAUUCCGGGGGAAGUAUGGUUGCAAAGCUGAAACUUAAAGGAAUUGACGGAAGGGCACCACCAGGAGUGGAGCCUGCGGCUUAAUUUGACUCAACACGGGAAAACUCACCAGGUCCAGACAUAGUAAGGAUUGACAGGUUGAGAGCCCUUUCUUGAUUCUAUGGGUGGUGGUGCAU